UACGUAGGGUGCAAGCGUUAAUCGGAAUUACUGGGCGUAAAGCGUGCGCAGGCGGUUUUGUAAGCCAGAUGUGAAAUCCCCGGGCUUAACCUGGGAAUGGCAUUUGGGACUGCAAGGCUCGAGUGCGGCAGAGGAGACUGGAAUUCCUGGUGUAGCAGUGAAAUGCGUAGAUAUCAGGAGGAAUACCGAUGGCGAAGGCAGGUCUCUGGGCUGACACUGACGCUCAUGCACGAAAGCGUGGGGGAGCAAACAGG
rnacentral:rRNA from 1 species